GGAAAGGUGGCUUAGUGGUAGAGCACUUGCCUUGUAUGCAAGAAGUCCUGGGUUCGAUACCUCAUACCA
rnacentral:tRNA from 1 species